UUAAAGGCCUGAUCCAAAGCCCAUUGAAGUCAAUGAGAGUCUUUCUAUUGACUUCAGCUGGCUUUGGCUCAGGUCCUAAAUGA
rnacentral:pre_miRNA from 1 species